AAGUUUCAAUGGUACACCAUAUCCUUAAGUUUGCAACUUAAUAUUUUAUAUAAACUAUGAAACC
rnacentral:tRNA from 1 species